AGCUAAGUGGAAAAAGGAAUCCGAAGGAAGAACGCCUGAAGCCCAGGUCUGGGAAGGGGCCCAGCAGCUUCUCUCUUGGGGAGAAAGACGAAAACAAGAGUAGAGGCCAAUUCUCCUCUUCCAAAGAACUCUGGAUCCCUAAAUGAGGCAGAAGCCUUGAACCCAGAAGUUACUCUAUCUUCAGAGGGGUCCUUAAACCUCGAAGACAUUCUCUACCUGGAGGACACAGGUGACCUUGAUGAGACACUCUAUGUGCAAGAGACUGAGAAGGCAGAGGAGGCCCUGUAUAUUGAGGAGGCCAUGCAGCCAGAUGAGGCUCUGCAUGUGGAGGAGCCUGGGAAUCCAGAGGAGACAGUGUGUGUGGAGGAAACCACGGAGCCAGAUCGGAUACAGUUUGUGGAGGGGCCCGUGGAGCCAGGAAAGCCCACAAGCCCAGAGCACGUUGUUUAUGAGGGAGAGACAGUCACAAGGGCGGAGAAAUCUAACCCUGAGGAGAGCCUCAGAGCCGAGCAGAGCCCCAGCAUGGAGGAGAACCUGAGCAUAGAGGACCUGGAAUUGCUAGAGGGGCG
rnacentral:lncRNA from 1 species